rnacentral:rRNA from 1 species
UACAGAGGGUGCGAGCGUUAAUCGGAAUUACUGGGCGUAAAGCGCGCGUAGGCGGCUUUGCAAGUCGAGUGUGAAAUCCCCAGGCUUAACCUGGGAACUGCAUUCGAGACUGCAUAGCUAGAGUAUGGGAGAGGGAAGUGGAAUUUCAGGUGUAGCGGUGAAAUGCGUAGAUAUCUGAAGGAACAUCAGUGGCGAAAGCGACUUCCUGGACCAAUACUGACGCUCAUGUGCGGAAGCGUGGGGAGCAAACAGG